rnacentral:tRNA from 1 species
CGCCGCUCUGGAGAGGACUCUGCUCGCUGCAGCCGGACACGGCUAGGGUUCCGGCGGCCAGAGCGGCGA